AUAAUAACUACUUUAUACUGACGUUCCCGGUAAGAGCGUCCAAUCAACUAACAUACUUAAUAUUCAUGAGCCAGGCUUCGUUCUGCCUUUCACCCAAUCAGGUAAGCCUAUUCACGAACCCUCCUGAUACGUCAUCAACAUUCAGGAACCAAGCCUUCGCCAUAGACAGUGAGAGAGGAGAUUGUCCCAGCUUCCACUGCCUUUGCCAUUUGACAUUGAAGAUGUGGGUGAAUUGUCUUGAGAAUCUGUAUGCAAAGGGACCGAAAGCCUGAAAAAGUCUCAACGGUGGCGAUGUUCCAGGAAAUUAGCUCCAGGGAAACUCAGAAGGGAGCGGGCAAAGCCAGGCAUCAUUAGCAGAAAGCGUCUUUGCCUUCUGCGAACUUCAAGAAGCAAAUGAACAUCGGCUGCAGGAACAUACGCCAUUAAUGAUGGCCAAUGUAGAUGUUUGUUCAGUGCUGUGAAACAGAAAAUUGCCCUGUACUGUACUGAACCUAAAGAGACAUGUAAAUGAAUGUUAGAAGGAUUUAUCCAGUAAUUAUUUCCAUUCCUGCCAACAUACUGUAUGUGAGGAGGGAAAGCAGUCAAUGCUCAUUAUUUGAUUUUUAUGCCUAAUUUUGUAUUAGUAUUGUCAUCUGUUUUCUACAAAUGUCAUGGAAGCUGGAAGCGUGGCACACUCUCAAGACAUUUCAACUGGCAACGUUGCCUGAUACAAAUACCCAUUGUUCCCUGUUGUUUUGCUGGGGAGCACUCUACUGAGAAUGAAGAGCCAGACGUGCUCCUUUAGGAGCCUGUGAGAUCUGUGUUUUUCUCUCACUGUGAUGGAAAGUGAUCAAGGCAACAAGUCCCAGGAGAGGUAACGUCUAGUGAUGGUCACAUCCUCGACAGGAUCUCUCGCUGCUGAGGAGACAUGUUUAGGAUGUGUGCUCUUAUUUACAGUGUAACUGAAAACUGUGUUGUCUGAUGCCCAUUUCUGGGUGUUUGCACCAAUAGAGCCUGUGCCAGCUGUUUACAUAUGCAUAUCAAUAUUGCGGCAGAAGAUAUCAUGAAUAAUAACUUAAUUUUUAAAUUGUGUAAUUUUUUUUAUUUUAUUAUAAGUUAUGGAUUUUCAUUUAUGGUGAACAAAUUUAGAGUGAAGUGAAAUGUUAUUGCAUGUAUGACAAAUUUGUGUAAAAAUUUAAAAAGCGAUAUACGAAACAACUAAUGGACAAUUGUUUGCUAGGGACAGUGUUAAUUGAAAAAAAAUAAUAAUGCAUGUUCAAUAUUAUGCAAAAAUACUGAAUAUGUUGAAACUAUACUGAUUAAAUAAGAAUUGAGUAUUUACAAUUUUAUUUUAGCCUAAAAUAAUGUAAGGAUAUUACAUGUUGCAUACAGAGGCAUCAAAUGAUUGUGUGUGUGUGUGUGUUUGAUAGCAGAGAUUGUCUUUUUGAACUCAGACAAUAUGUUGCUGUUUUUACUUAUAGAUUUUUAUAUCAAUGCAUCAUAGUAAAUACUGUGUAUAUACUGCGAUCAUCAGCAAACCGUAAAGAACUGUUUCCACGUUGAGUGAUGGAACAUGUUGCUCCUUUUAGUUUGAGCUGGUUAGGACACUCCCCGAGAGAUGAUUAUCAUGGAGCAUGAGCAGCUCUUAUUUAGAACAGCAUCAUUAAAGUACUGCUGUGGGGAAAUAUCCAUGGGCGUAGUCAAAGAACUGCAUAUGUCAAGUCAUCUGAUGGAAAGGGAAAAAGUGCAUCAGCAGCGCAGGGACGGUGAGGACGAUGGACAAAUAUGCCCACCAUAUCCAUUGCGGCUCAAUCACUACUCUGCUUUUAAAGCAGCUCUGACAGUAAAAGGUCUAACUUGCCUCAGGCUCUACCAAGGAACCGUAUUUUUUUUUUUACAUUUUAUGUUUCGCUUGCAUUACGCACUCACUCUUGGGUACUUUUGGAUAAAUCACAUAUUUCUAUAAUCCCACAAUAUUUCAUCCCUCAUGCUACACAGCCUCGAUUUCCAGGUGAUCUGGGCCAAAUGUAUUGCCAAACGAACAGGAAUUAGCAUUCUAAUGGGUGACAGAUUCAAUCAAGGUUUUGUGUUAGACAGUUUGUGGAUCAGAUAGUAAAAUGCUUGUUAGAUUUUGUUAAGUUACAAUUCUUCAUUCACUACAUGAAACACUAUGUGAAGAACUGGUCCAGAUAGAGACUUUUAAUAUGCAUAAGAGUGACAUAAAUUGAAAUGAAUGUAGAAUCCAAAGACUGUAAAAGCAGGCUUAUGCCAGUACUGAUGCCAUGUGUCAUUCUGAUAAAACAUCUCUAAGUGACUGUUUGAAGAGGUGCUGUUUCAUGUGUGUGUGGGAUCUGGCAGGUUCAGUACUCUUGCCCUGUUAGUCAUACUGUGGGGGCAUUUGCACUUUAUUUGCCUUUAUGAAAAUGAACAAAAUACUCUUAAGAUCUUAUUUUCACCUAGUAGCAAGGUGAUUUUGUAAACAAUGUCAACAAACUUUCUUUAUUCUCAGAGAUGGCUGGGUCAGCUUUUUCAUUAUUUGUGUGAAAAUGCUUUUACAUGCACAGUCACGUACUGGAUUUUUUUUUUUUUUUAUUUUGCAGGGAAGGUCAGGCCCGAUAUGUACAUUCGCCUAGGGUCCCGAAAUACGCCACAUUCAUUGAAGAGAAUAGUACUGUGGUGUCAUCCAGUGGCUAGUCAUUAGUAAACGUGGAAAGGACAGACUGGAGGGUUGUGCACACAUGAACAGGCAGAGAGGAUGUUUAGACACUGUGCUCAUCAAAUAAGAUUCAUAUUAAAGCUUCAU